rnacentral:rRNA from 1 species
AAGUCGUAACAAGGUUUCCGUAGGUGAACCUGCGGAAGGAUCAUUACUGAACUGUUGACACGAGUUGUUGCUGGUCCUCAAAUGGGGGCAUGUGCACGCUCUGUUUACACAUCCACUCACACCUGUGCACCCUCCUGUAGUUCUAUGGCAUGGGGGACUCUGUCCUCCUGCUGUGGUUCUAUGCUUUUACACACACACUGUAAUUAAAGUCUCAUGGGAUGUAUACCGCGUUUAACGCAAUAUAAUACAACUUUCAGCAACGGAUCUCUUGGCUCUCGCAUCGAUGAAGAACGCAGCGAAAUGCGAUAAGUAGUGUGAAUUGCAGAAUUCAGUGAAUCAUCGAAUCUUUGAACGCACCUUGCGCCCUUUGGCUAUUCCGAAGGGCAUGCCUGUUUGAGUAUCAUGAACACCUCAACUCUCAUGGUUUGCCAUGAUGAGCUUGGACUUUGGGGGUCUUGCUGGCCUAUGGUCAGCUCCUCUUAAACGAAUCAGCUUGCCAGUGUUUGGUGGCAUCACAGGUGUGAUAACUAUCUACGCUUGUGGUCUCCCAUCAGGUGACCUUCAGUGAUGGAGGUUUGUGCUGGGGCUCAUAAAGGUCUCUCCUCAGUGAGGACAGCUUUUUGAACGUUUGAUCUCAAAUCAGGUAGGACUACCCGCUGAACUUAA